UCCAGCAGCUCCUGGAGAUUGUGUGGUGCUUAACAAUACAAUGAAAAUAAACAAAAAUAAAUGAAUAAAAUAGAAUAAGAGAAUGCCGAACUAGUUAUGUUUUAAGGUUUCUUUUAAAGUUCCUAUGGCAUGCUACUUAAUUUAUGGUUUUACAUAGCCGUUAGUGGGCCCCUAAUACAGUACUGGAAGACGUUCAAGAAAUUCAGCCUUGGUGCAGAAUUACAGCCACUACGAGCCAGUCCCGCAAUGGGCUUUACAAAAGCGUGCCGCUUCUUAGAGGUGGGUCAAGGUGGAGGGUGGGGGUGUGGCUCCUGCCGGAGCACCGCGGCCUCGCGGCGGCAGUGGUGGUGCCUCUCGGCGGGGGGGGGCAGGGGCCGCAGGCAGCGGGGACCCGGCCGGAGACAAUCGCGGUCAACAAUCCCCUUCUCCAUGUCGCAGUUCAUGUAGGUGACUUCAGGGAGUCAAAGCCAAAGUUCCUCUCCCCCAAAUCUUUCUCAACCAUGGCUGAGAUAACCCCCACUACGACGUCAGAGAACCAGACGGGUUUUGCGCCAUAACACCAACAGCAGUACGGCUAUCCAAAUAACAAAGAAGUGUACAACACUUGCGUUGCAACACACACAGCUCCUCUGGCAGGCUGUUCCAGAGCGGGGGGGGGGGGCCAUAGGUAACUAAGAGGCCAGUGCCAGAGGACCUGAGUGAUCUAGGUGGAGCACCAUGAAAAGAUGCUCCCGAGGAACCCAUAACCCGAAACAGCCAUUUGAGGUCGUUUCCAUGUUCCAUAACUAACAUAAAUAACUACUCUCUCGUAGAAAUACGGUACGUUCAGCUGUACAGCGGCAUCACGAUGGGGACAGGACCAAUAGGCACCGCUUUGAUCCAAACUAUCAGAAUCAGGUUCUGCUUGUUGACCAUUACCAUUCCUACAGUUAUUAGUUUUGGUAAAUUGGUAAAUAUUAACAACUGAUAAAAUAAAGAGAACAAUAAUAGAAACACCAAUGGCCGUCCAUGGACCAUUCCCGAGGACCUCUUCA
ensembl:lncRNA